rnacentral:lncRNA from 1 species
AGUUUGUGUCUCCUCUUCCUCGUCAAGACACAACAGAAAUCAUUUUCUUAGCAUUUUACUUUUUUUUUAACAAACAGCUUCGACGCGAGACUUAAGAUUACAAGGUAUGUUUUAUAGAGAGCAGGGCUUAAGUCAAAGAUAAAUGUGUGGUCAUUUUCUUUAUUAUUUAAAAUCAGAGUUAAAAUUAAUUUUAAUUUAAGAUAAUAAAUUUCUAUUAAUUUUUUUAGAAAAAUAUUUUGCACGUCCUCGUACGUUACAGUGUGGUACCGUGGUAGGUUUGGUUUUACCGUGAACUACAGGAACAAUAAUGUAUUUGCAAAUGUGGAGGGGGAGGGGGUUGACAAUUUUGACGCUGAUAACUUUUUAAAGCUAUAAAUUUUUUUUUUUUAAGGUGCACUUUUUUUUAUUGUGAAGUUGUAUGUCUUCACUUUUAGACCAAGUAUGACCUUUAUUUUGUAGGACUACGAGUUGAAUUGAGGAUGGAUUUCCUUGUAAUUCCUGCCCAGAUCAUUGCUAGAUAUGGAAUCGGGGUUUGUGUCGAUUUCCUUCAUUUUAUGGGUGCUCACAGAUAAUUUAAGGAAAUGUCAUGAGACCUUAAGCUGAUCUCCUCCAAAACAUUAUAAAAAUUGUUAGGAGGACUUUGUUAAUUUUCCUGUUUUGUUUUACUACUUUGUCAGAACAUAUUAUUUUCAACUGUGAUAAUGUACAUUGACUUCAAAAACAAUUCCUAUGUCAGAAACACCUUUUUCUACAUGAAUCCAGCUCAAAAUAGACACUCCUGCCGUAAUGUAUUCUUUAACAAUAAUAUGGAGGUAUAAUUUAAAUACAUGUUCGAGUGUUUCCAAGAUAGCUUGCCAAUACCUCGGAACUACAAAUAAAUCAGUAUUAAGCGGAAUAAUAUUUUCUACAGCUUGGCAAUAUUGUGAUUUCUAAUCGAUCUUGUUUAUUAUCGUAAAAUGUAGACUGGCUCAUUUUUUGUUAUUAAAAAAAUUAUAAAUUCAUGAAGUAUUACUAUGAAAUAACCCGUGUAUAUUUUAUGUGAAGCUUUUUUUUUUGGAGAACUUUAGUUUAUUUGUACUGAAAAUAAAUUAUUAAAGAAUAAAUUAU